CUUGGUGACCUGUGUCUCCUGGCUCAGUGCGCAAGACGGAGGAGGAGCUACAGGCCAUCCUGGAAGCCAAGGAGAAGAAGCUGCGGCUGAAGGCGCAGAGGCAGGCCCAGCAGGCCCAGAAUGUGCAGCGCAAGCAGGAGCAGCGGGAGGCCCACAGGAAGAAGAGCCUGGAGGGCAUGAAGAAGGCACGGGUCAGGGGUGGUGAUGAAGAGGCCUCUGGGAUCCCUUCAAGGACGGCGAGCCUGGGGUUGGGUGAGGACGACGAUGAACAGGAAGAUGAUGACAUCGAGUAUUUCUGCCAGGCGGUGGGCGAGGCGCCCAGUGAGGGUAUGGAGUGGGGUCUGCAGCAGGGCACCCAGAGCCUGUCCUUGUCCCUGGGGACCCUGACACUGUCCCUCCCCACAGACCUGUUCCCCGAGGCCAAGCGGAAACGGCUCGCCAAGUCUCCAGGGCAGAAGCGGAAGCGGCGGGAAAUGGAUCGAGGCAGGGGUCGCCUUUGUGACCAGAAGUUUCCCAAGCCCAAGGACAAGUCCCACGGAGCCCAGGCCAGGCGGGGGCCCAGAGGGGCUUCCCAGGAUGGUGGACGAGGCCAGGGCCGGGGCCGCCCACGGAAGAGAGUGGCCUGAGCCCAAGCCGCACCGGAGCAGCGGAUGGAUUGAACGCCCCAGAUUGGGGCCCGAGACAUGGCCCUCGGUUUCCUUUCAUAAAGGAGUUGUGUUCCCAACCCUUCCACUCCAGUAAAGAACUGAACUGGCCAGGGGUCCACGUCAGCAUUUGGGAUGGGGGAUUCUGGAGCCCUACAAAGCACCCAGAGAGGCCUGGGCCGGCUACACCCGAGAGUCCGUCCCACCUGGUUUUUCUUUCUGGAAGCUGGGUCUCUCCCCUACCCUGCACGGGGUUGGUUUCAUUGGUGGUGGCAGCAGGCAUGAGUGGCCCCUCCCCACAGUCCCACCAAAGAGCUCUGCAAGCAGACAGGUCACGCUUUCAGCGGAUGAGCUUGAACCUUGGAGGGCUGUGGCACAAUGAGGAAGGAAAUGUGGAUGGAAAGGCACCCUGGCCUGCUCUGCUGGCUGGGCCAGGAACUGGGGGCGGGGC
rnacentral:sRNA from 1 species